GAACUUAUCAUUUCUGCACCUAAUCAACCUGAAGACAAUGCUCAACCUGAAGACAAUCCUCCUAAUGAUGACAAUGAUCAGCAAGAGCAAAAUCUUCGUCCAGUUCAUCCUCGUGUUGCAAAUGAAGUACAGAUUGAGAAUAUAAUUGAUAGCAUCAAUGCACCUGGUCCACUCACUCGUUCAAGAGAAACACAGCUAGCAAAUGUCUAUGGGCACUUUGCAUUUGUCUCAAUAUCUGAACCCAAGAAAGUUGCUGAAGCCUUCAUGGAACCAGAAUGGAUUCAAGCUAUGCAAGAAGAGCUUCAAAAGUUCGAGCUGAACAAUGCGUGGGAAUUAGUCAAGUGUCCUAAUCCUCAUAAACACAAUAUCAUAGGCACUAAAUGGAUAUAUCGCAACAAGAAAGAUGAGCAUGGUCAAGUUGUCAGAAACAAGGCUCGUCUC
rnacentral:rRNA from 1 species